ensembl:lncRNA
UUCUGCCUAUUUCUGUAAAUAUACAGAUGUACAACCAGACGUCGUUUUCACUGUCCUCAAGCUUCCUGGAAGUGAGCCAGAGCCAGUCCAGAUGCUGUACAGUUCCAUGUGCAGAGCCAGGAUUCUCCACGGUGACUUCUUUCUGCGCACCUGGCUUCCCUCUUCCUUCCCUCAGAAAUCAAGAUGAGUGAUAUGAAACUCUGGUGUUCAUCACAGUGGACCAGCCAAAUCUACACCCAGAUUUCAGUAUAAAUGCAAGCUUAGUUUUUGUUACUAAAAGCCAACCGUGCCAUAGUUAUGGAAGAGGAACAAUAUAACCAAGAUCUCAGGAUAAUUCUGAUGAAUUUUCCAAAUCCUGCUGAGUGCUCCAAGUCCUUCAGGCAAAGAACUUCCACUGCUACCAUAACUUCACUCAUUUAUUCCUUGAACCAAGCAAAACUCAACUGGAAUCAGCAUAGAGGAGCUUUUCUCUAGGACUUUUCUUACUAGUUGCUAAUAGAGACAUUGUGAAAUGGAGUACAAUUUUUCUGUUCUCAAAGUAAAAAUAGGAAUGAGUGCAAGCGAAAACCCUGAAACUGGCAUGAUCAUAUUGAGAUAUAUUAAAGUCCUCUUACCCAGGAUGGUGUAAAUAGCUUCCUUAAACACCUAUAUGUGUAUUUGUGUCAGAAGGAUUUUCAUUAACAGUGCUUUAGGAAACACCUCCUACAAUGUUGAAUUGUUCAAUUACUUGAAUUCCCUUAGCACUUUACUACUUCCUCCUUCUCCUCCCACUACCCCAUGAGUCCUCAAGUGUAUCUUGAUAGAGGUCUAAAGUAUUAAUGAGUACUAGGUAAAAUUAUUUUGGUUAAUUUUCUUACAUUCUUCCUUAUAUAUCCACUUCUCAACAAAAUUAAAUUAAAAAGUUGUAGUGAUACAGUAAAUAUCUUAGCUGUCCAGACAGCAAAAAAACAUUUAGCACAACCACUUAAUACUUGACAGUUGUGGAAAUAAUAGGGACCUUCUGGGAAAGGUGUGAAAAACUAUAGAGUGAUCCAGUGAUCAAAUGUUUUUCUGGGUUUGAUGAAUCCACAAUGUAGUCAAAGAUGAUGAAAUAUGUAUUUGAGAAGUUGCUUGCUCUAAUUUCCAGGUCACCUUAGGUUAGAGUUUGGAAUUUGAAUUUAGAUACGCCAUCUGUAAGGGUUUUUUUAAAAUGGUUUAACAGCUGUAGAGAAUGGUUUGGGAAGCACUGGAAGUGUGAGAUACAGUUUGUCUGUUGAAUAUAUGGUGACAGUAGAUUCACUGUUUUUCCUCCCUGGGGAGCCAGACUGAAAGCCAGAUGCAGGCUUACUCCUGCAAGGCCUCUUUAUUCUCUGCCUCUGCUCAACACGCAACAAACUUGGAUGAAAAAUACUUUGGUUGCUUGUGUGUUUGAAAGCAGUGAGUUGCUGCAAGCCAUGUUUUAUUCCUGCUGGCAUUACUAUUCACCCAUACUGGGAAAUUCUUGCUUCCUACAGGACCUAAAUGAGCUUUAAGCCACUUACUACAUUAAUUCCACGUCCACAUAGUGUGAACCACGGAUAUGCUUCUCAUGUAAAAUGUACAUUUACAUGUACAUUUUACAUAAAAUUUACAUGUACAUUUUACAGCUGCAAAAGCUCCUCCAGUAUGUGACAGCCUUUCUUAUAUGUUUUGGAAUGCUUUUAAAGUGUAGCUUUAAAUAUACAGCUAAGGAGUCUUUAUUAGAUUAAAUAUGAUAUAUAGGUUACUGUAGUAUCCCCUUUUCUACACAGGAAAGACUGCUACUAUAUUUAAAAUAGAAAUCUGUCUUCUUUAUGAAGAAUAUUAGAAAUGAUCAUGAGAUCAACUGCUAUUAAUUAGUCUUCUGUUGAAUAGUAAAGUUCCAGUAGGUUUUUGUUGUCUACCAGGAGUGACUCCAGUUUCUCAAGAUUAUCUUAAAUUUUCUCUGCUAUCCUGUUAUCAUAUAGGUUGAUAGUUAACUAUAUGUGUUAGCAUUAUGAUGCUUAUUCUAUCUUCUGUGUAUUUUCUAGUGCUUUCCUGUAUUUACUAAUUUAACUCUUUAAUGACUUCUCUAACUAAAUCUAUGUAAUAAAAACUAUUAAAAUUAAAAAUGCUAUAUACUA